UACGUAGGGUGCAAGCGUUUAAUCGGAAUUACUGGGCGUAAAGCGUGCGCAGGCGGUUGUGCAAGACAGAUGUGAAAUCCCCGGGCUUAACCUGGGAAUUGACAUUUGUGACUGCACGGCUAGAGUGUGUCAGAGGGGGGGUAGAAUUCCACGUGUAGCAGUGAAAUGCGUAGAGAUGUGGAGGAAUACCGAUGGCGAAGGCAGCCCCCUGGGUCAAGAUUGACGCUCAUGCACGAAAGCGUGGGGGAGCAAACAGG
rnacentral:rRNA from 1 species